CACUAAGUAGUCCUCAACUGAAAAAUUUCUCCUCUGGCACACCUUUCAUGCGCAAAGUACUGCCCCUUGAACCCUAACCCAACAAAACCUUCAACCUUGCUCUAAGGGAGAGAAAAUGGCAUGGCGUGGUUCGCUUUCUAGAUCCCUCGUAUCAACCGCCAGAUCAUCAACCCUCCGCGCACCGCCACCACUCCCCCGCGUCCGUCCUCCGCCGCUCGCCUCCCCUCGCCGCCUCUCAUUCGCUAAUCCAAGGAAUUUGGGAGAGUUAGGAUGUGUUCAAUCCCUUCUGCCGCUGUACAGCGUGGUUGCCGGAGUUCGCCUCACUUCGCACUUGGUCGUCGAUGCGCGGGCUUGCUGCGAGCUGUAUAACGGUACCUCCCGCCGCAUUUGUCAGGAUCGCUAGUAGUCUCUUUGUAGGAAUGGAAAAGAUGGUUGAUGCACGACGCACUCGGUGAUUAAGAGACGGGACAAUGAUGCCACGUUGUACUUGACCACGAGAGGGAUCAGCAUGGUGGGUGCUAUCCAUAAAGUUCGGGCAGUCAUAGCAAGUCAGUGUAAUCAAGUGGAAUGUUUACAUUGAGAGUUGGAAAAACUAAUAACCUUAUUGUCUUUUGCGCUCUAGCCUUAUUUUCUUUUGCUCUCUAGCAAACUCAAAAUUUCCCAACUUUUGCUUGGUCAACACAUGCACAUCUCCUUCUUGUGAAAACCUACAUCUGUUUUUGUAGUAUUCUUUCUGGAUUC